rnacentral:rRNA from 1 species
CCUACGGGAGGCAGCAGUGGGGGAUAUUGCACAAUGGGGGGAACCCUGAUGCAGCGACGCCGCGUGGGUGAAGAAGCGCCUCGGCGCGUAAAGCUCUGUUAGCAGGGAAGAAAAUCACGGUACCUGAAGCAGAAGCCCCGGCUAACUACGUGCCAGCAGCCGCGGUAAUACGUAGGGUGCCAGCGUUAUCCGGAUUUACUGGGUGUAAAGGGGGCGCAGGCGGCGAUGCAAGCCAGGAGUGAAAGCCCGGGGCCCAACCCCGGGACUGCUAUUGGAAGUGCGUGGCUGGAGUGCAGGAGAGGCAGGCGGAAUUCGUGGUGUAGCGGGGAAAUGCGUAGAGAGCAGGAGGAACACCGGUGGCGAAGGCGGCCUGCUGGACUGCGACUGACGUUGAGGCCCGAAAGUGUGGGGAGCAAACAGGAUUAGAUACCCUAGUAGUC